AGUGCCCACUGUGGGCCUGGCGCUUUGCUGGGUGAGGGGGUCCAGAGAUGAGCAGGAAUGCUCCCUGCUCUCAGCCGGCGGGAGCAUAUGUGGGGGGGCUUGCAGGAAGUGACACCUGAGCAGAGUUUUGCAGUGAGGGUAAGGAAGAGCAAAUCAGGUGGAAACAAGAAGGGCAUGGCAGGCAGAGCACGAGCACAGGCUACAAGUCCCAAGACGAUGGAACGAGAGAGCAGCCGAAGGUGUCGGGGUGAGGGGGCCACAGACAGGGAGGCCGGGGCCAGCUGGAGAGGGGCCUAUAGCCCAGAGCCCUCGAAUCUCUGAUGGUUCCAGUUUUUGUUUCUCCUGAAUUUUGCAAUUUUGAAGAGUACUUGCAGCGUGAGUACCCUCCUGAAGGCUUCCUGGUCAGCUCCUGCAGUCAGACAUGGAGAAGCACACGUAGUGCUGCCACAGUGUGGGUGCUGCGGGGUCCUGGUGCUCCGAGGAUGGCAUCUGUGUUCCCUGAAGGAGAGGACUUGGCUUGGCCUGGCAUUUCUCAGGUAAAGAACAGCUGACCUGGCGAAGAUUCGGAAGAGGGCUGCUGCAUCAGAAAUAGAGAUGAGUGGGCGGUCACAGAAGACGGCUGCUUCUUGAGGCCUAGGAAAAAGAUCUGCUCCACUACACACUUGCUGGGAUAACGACCCCUCUCGUCGGCACAACUGGAAUAGAUACAUCAAAUGGCAUCAGGAAAAGGAGAGGAACAGAGGUUUGGACUGGUUACCAGUUCACCAUCCCAAGCCUUAUGCACUGAAUAUAAAGCUAUACAUGGAGCAAUUCCCUCUGAGAAAAAUCCAGAAAUGGAGUGACUCCUACACAUUGGGUGACUGAGAAAGUACCUGCAUCAAAACAAGUAGGAAAGACUGAGACACACUCUUGACAUAACUUCCACCCCUGGCACAGUACCAUACAAUUGGACACUGAUAGAUCUCAGCACACCUGCAGCUACUGGGAGUCACUAAGAAAAUGGAUGGCAGCUCAGAUAAUCACAAAGGUCUGAGAAGCAACAAGCAGCUCAAGCCAGGCUGAUUGCAGAGUUCAUACCCUACAUGAGACCAGUCUGUUAAGACUGGAAGAGGUGGCUGGGUUAGCUAAUGUGAGAAACUGACAUAAAGUGUCAAGGAAAAUGAAACAGGAGAGUAUGUUCCAAACAAAAGCACAUGAUGAAUCUACAGAAACUUUCAUGAAAUGGAGGUUUCUGCUUGGCAGGGGAACCUUUGUAAAGAGCCCUCACCUUCAGAACUACAAAUUACUAUAGAAAUCAAGCAGAAAGAACAUCAUUUGUGAACAUUCUGUAGAAAAACUUGGUUAUUGUCAUAUCAAUAAUGACAAGUGUAGUGGGCUAAAUGGUGGGCCCCCCCAAAGAUAUUUUCCACUUUCUAAUCCCUGGGAGGAGUGAACAUUACCUUCUGCAGUAACAGAUUUGACUAAAUUAAGGAUCUCGAGAUAAGAUUAUCUGGGAUUAUCCAGAUAGGCCCUAAAUAUCAUCACAAGCGUCUUGUAAGAGAGAGAUGGGAGAGGAGACAGAUGCACAGAGAAGGCGCAGUGAAGACAGAGGCACACACUGCAGUGAUGCAGCUACAAGCCAAGGACACCGAGGACUGCAGGCAGCCACCAGAAGCUAGGGGACAGGUAGGGGACAGACUGUCCCUCAGAACCUCCAGAAGGAACCAGCCCUGCUGACUCCAUGAUUUCGGACUUCAAGCCUCUGAAACUGUGAGAGAAUACAUUUUUGUCAUUUUAAGCCAAGUUUGAAGGGAAGCCACCAAGAAUGAAGGGAAGAGAUAUAACAGGUGUAAGGCAUGUAGCUGUCUGUCAUUUACUUUUACCUCAUUUGAUCCUGGCAGAAACACAUCAACCACAGUGGCUUUUGGUUCUGUGACUGGAUGAACCAAUAAAGCACUUCCUGAAAAACAGGGAAGAAAUGAAGUUGAAUAUUAUUAUAAGAGGUCUGAAGACAUCCCUUCU